rnacentral:rRNA from 1 species
GAUGAACGCUAGCGGCAGGCUUAACACAUGCAAGUCGAGGGGCAGCAUAUUUUGUAGUAAUACAAGAUGAUGGCGACCGGCGCACGGGUGCGUAACGCGUAUGCAACCUACCAUAUACAGGGGGAUAAACUUUCGAAAGGGAGCCUAAUACCCCAUAGUCAUAUUUUAAGGCAUAUUGCAAUAAUUAAAGAUUAAUUGGUAUAUGAUGGGCAUGCGUGUCAUUAGCUAGUUGGUAAGGUAACGGCUUACCAAGGCGACGAUGACUAGGGGUUCUGAGAGGAAGAUCCCCCACACUGGUACUGAGACACGGACCAGACUCCUACGGGAGGCAGCAGUGAGGAAUAUUGGUCAAUGGGCGAGAGCCUGAACCAGCCAUGCCGCGUGCAGGAAGACGGCCCUAUGGGUUGUAAACUGCUUUUAUGUGAGGAUAAACCUAUUCUUGCGAGAGUAGCUGAAGGUAUCACAUGAAUAAGGAUCGGCUAACUCCGUGCCAGCAGCCGCAGUAA